rnacentral:rRNA from 1 species
ACUAAGCGUACACGGUGGAUGCCCUGGCAGUCAGAGGCGAUGAAGGACGUGCUAAUCUGCGAUAAGCGUCGGUAAGGUGAUAUGAACCGUUAUAACCGGCGAUUUCCGAAUGGGGAAACCCAGUGUGAUUCGUCACACUAUCAUUAACUGAAUCCAUAGGUUAAUGAGGCGAACCGGGGGAACUGAAACAUCUAAGUACCCCGAGGAAAAGAAAUCAACCGAGAUUCCCCCAGUAGCGGCGAGCGAACGGGGAGCAGCCCAGAGCCUGAAUCAGUGUGUGUGUUAGUGGAAGCGUCUGGAAAGGCGCGCGAUACAGGGUGACAGCCCCGUACACAAAAAUGCACAUGCUGUGAGCUCGAUGAGUAGGGCGGGACACGUGGUAUCCUGUCUGAAUAUGGGGGGACCAUCCUCCAAGGCUAAAUACUCCUGACUGACCGAUAGUGAACCAGUACCGUGAGGGAAAGGCGAAAAGAACCCCGGCGAGGGGAGUGAAAAAGAACCUGAAACCGUGUACGUACAAGCAGUGGGAGCACGCUUAGGCGUGUGACUGCGUACCUUUUGUAUAAUGGGUCAGCGACUUAUAUUCUGUAGCAAGGUUAACCGAAUAGGGGAGCCGAAGGGAAACCGAGUCUUAACUGGGCGUUAAGUUGCAGGGUAUAGACCCGAAACCCGGUGAUCUAGCCAUGGGCAGGUUGAAGGUUGGGUAACACUAACUGGAGGACCGAACCGACUAAUGUUGAAAAAUUAGCGGAUGACUUGUGGCUGGGGGUGAAAGGCCAAUCAAACCGGGAGAUAGCUGGUUCUCCCCGAAAGCUAUUUAGGUAGCGCCUCGUGAAUUCAUCUCCGGGGGUAGAGCACUGUUUCGGCAAGGGGGUCAUCCCGACUUACCAACCCGAUGCAAACUGCGAAUACCGGAGAAUGUUAUCACGGGAGACACACGGCGGGUGCUAACGUCCGUCGUGAAGAGGGAAACAACCCAGACCGCCAGCUAAGGUCCCAAAGUCAUGGUUAAGUGGGAAACGAUGUGGGAAGGCCCAGACAGCCAGGAUGUUGGCUUAGAAGCAGCCAUCAUUUAAAGAAAGCGUAAUAGCUCACUGGUCGAGUCGGCCUGCGCGGAAGAUGUAACGGGGCUAAACCAUGCACCGAAGCUGCGGCAGCGACACUAUGUGUUGUUGGGUAGGGGAGCGUUCUGUAAGCCUGUGAAGGUGUACUGUGAGGUAUGCUGGAGGUAUCAGAAGUGCGAAUGCUGACAUAAGUAACGAUAAAGCGGGUGAAAAGCCCGCUCGCCGGAAGACCAAGGGUUCCUGUCCAACGUUAAUCGGGGCAGGGUGAGUCGACCCCUAAGGCGAGGCCGAAAGGCGUAGUCGAUGGGAAACAGGUUAAUAUUCCUGUACUUGGUGUUACUGCGAAGGGGGGACGGAGAAGGCUAUGUUGGCCGGGCGACGGUUGUCCCGGUUUAAGCGUGUAGGCUGGUUUUCCAGGCAAAUCCGGAAAAUCAAGGCUGAGGCGUGAUGACGAGGCACUACGGUGCUGAAGCAACAAAUGCCCUGCUUCCAGGAAAAGCCUCUAAGCAUCAGGUAACAUCAAAUCGUACCCCAAACCGACACAGGUGGUCAGGUAGAGAAUACCAAGGCGCUUGAGAGAACUCGGGUGAAGGAACUAGGCAAAAUGGUGCCGUAACUUCGGGAGAAGGCACGCUGAUAUGUAGGUGAAGUCCCUCGCGGAUGGAGCUGAAAUCAGUCGAAGAUACCAGCUGGCUGCAACUGUUUAUUAAAAACACAGCACUGUGCAAACACGAAAGUGGACGUAUACGGUGUGACGCCUGCCCGGUGCCGGAAGGUUAAUUGAUGGGGUCAGCGCAAGCGAAGCUCUUGAUCGAAGCCCCGGUAAACGGCGGCCGUAACUAUAACGGUCCUAAGGUAGCGAAAUUCCUUGUCGGGUAAGUUCCGACCUGCACGAAUGGCGUAAUGAUGGCCAGGCUGUCUCCACCCGAGACUCAGUGAAAUUGAACUCGCUGUGAAGAUGCAGUGUACCCGCGGCAAGACGGAAAGACCCCGUGAACCUUUACUAUAGCUUGACACUGAACAUUGAGCCUUGAUGUGUAGGAUAGGUGGGAGGCUUUGAAGUGUGGACGCCAGUCUGCAUGGAGCCGACCUUGAAAUACCACCCUUUAAUGUUUGAUGUUCUAACGUUGACCCGUGAUCCGGGUUGCGGACAGUGUCUGGUGGGUAGUUUGACUGGGGCGGUCUCCUCCUAAAGAGUAACGGAGGAGCACGAAGGUUGGCUAAUCCUGGUCGGACAUCAGGAGGUUAGUGCAAUGGCAUAAGCCAGCUUGACUGCGAGCGUGACGGCGCGAGCAGGUGCGAAAGCAGGUCAUAGUGAUCCGGUGGUUCUGAAUGGAAGGGCCAUCGCUCAACGGAUAAAAGGUACUCCGGGGAUAACAGGCUGAUACCGCCCAAGAGUUCAUAUCGACGGCGGUGUUUGGCACCUCGAUGUCGGCUCAUCACAUCCUGGGGCUGAAGUAGGUCCCAAGGGUAUGGCUGUUCGCCAUUUAAAGUGGUACGCGAGCUGGGUUUAGAACGUCGUGAGACAGUUCGGUCCCUAUCUGCCGUGGGCGCUGGAGAACUGAGGGGGGCUGCUCCUAGUACGAGAGGACCGGAGUGGACGCAUCACUGGUGUUCGGGUUGUCAUGCCAAUGGCACUGCCCGGUAGCUAAAUGCGGAAGAGAUAAGUGCUGAAAGCAUCUAAGCACGAAACUUGCCCCGAGAUGAGUUCUCCCUGACUCCUUGAGAGUCCUGAAGGAACGUUGAAGACGACGACGUUGAUAGGCCGGGUGUGUAAGCGCAGCGAUGCGUUGAGCUAACCGGUACUAAUGAACCGUGAGGCUUAACC